ensembl:lncRNA novel transcript
GGGAACUGACUGCUUAAUAAGUAUGGGAUUUUUGGUGGGGUGUUGAUGCAAUGUUUUGCAACUAGAUAGGGAUGAUGGCUGGCUGCACAGCAUUGAUGGAGUUCAAUGGUGCAAUCGCGGCUCACGGCAACUAGAGGAGUUAUAACACAAGAUUUGGGGUGACGGCAUGGAAAUUAAAAGCUGGUGAAGCACAUGGCCUUUAGAUCUGGAUGUACUUGAGCUGUGGGAUACAGAGCAUAAAGGGGAGCACACCACUAAGAUAAAUCUAGGUUCUUGUCUCAUAACCAGGAAAAAUUAGACAUGCCGACAAAUUGAAAGCUUUAGGAGUCAGAUCCUGAUAGAGACCAGACACUGCUGGAAUUCUCACUCCAACAAAAGAUUACUUCAAGGUCGGAACCCAAACCUGGGUGAAGAAUAACUCACUUAUAACCUGGCAGGAUCCAUGAUGGUGCCAGCCCCUUCACCAAAUGUGACCAUAAUUCAAAAGGAUCACACAGCAAGUCAUACCACCUGGCACCUCUGAGCCCCCCUUGCCUCUUCUGCAUUCCAGACCCUGCUUUAAAAACCCCUGUGUUCCCACCACAGAUUGAAGGUGGAAUUGUUUACUGCUCUUCCUCUGCUAGCAUAGAGAAUAAAGGAAAAUGUCGCUCCCUCU